UUGAUACCAUUCCAACAAUACAUCAGACACAAGGUUUCCAGGUGUUUGAUACCAUUCCAACAAUACAUCAGACAAAAGGUUUCCAGGUGUUUGAUACCAUUUCAACAAUACAUCAGACACAAGGUUUCCAGGUGUUUGAUACCAUUUCAACAAUACAUCAGACACAAGGUUUCCAGGUGUUUGAUACAUUCCAUUAACUCCGUUCCAGACAUUAUUAUGAGCCGUCCUCCCCUCAGCAGCCUCCACUGGUAACAAUAUCAAACAGUGUAAAAGCAAUUUAACAAAGGUAUAAAAAUGAAUUAAGUCUAAAGUCCUUGAAUUCUGAGUAGUAUAUGGGAUAUGUUCAGAUAUUAUACUGUAUAAUUAACAACGUUUUUACAACUUACUUGCAAUGUUCAUAUAAUGUUCUAAGUCAGGCAUUUGCACAAUGAUGCCUCUUUGAGUUUGGCUUAUGUCAUGUAUCUUAUGAACAUUCAUAUAGAGGUUCUAAUCAGGAACAGCCACACCCGGCAAUGUCAUUUCUCUACAAUAUGACCACCCGAUGUUGUGCCAUUCAUUAUCAAUAAUACUGAUAUUUGAUUGUCUGCACUAAACUUCCAUCCACUCCUCCUUCCCCCAAUGAUCCUCCUUCCCAUCAACCCUCUCCCAGCUACACAUCCCAGACCAUUCACUUUCAUAGGCAACACUCAAAGUGCACUUGAGUACUUCACCCUCCAGUCAGAGGAGACUUUACUGGAUUAGGGCACUUCUUUUCUCCAAGUGGUUUUAAACUACAUCAACUAUCCCUAAAUAAGGGCACUUCUUUUCUCCAAGUGGUUUUAAACUACAUCAACUAUCCCUAAAUAAGGGCACUUCUUUU
ensembl:lncRNA